rnacentral:rRNA from 1 species
CGUGGGUAACCUGCCUUAUAGUGGGGGAUAGCCUUUCGAAAGGAAGAUUAAUACCGCAUAAGAUUGUAGUAUCGCAUGAUAUAGCAAUUAAAGAGCAAUUCGCUAUAAGAUGGACCCGCGUCGCAUUAGCUAGUUGGUGAGGUAAUGGCUCACCAAGGCGACGAUGCGUAGCCGACCUGAGAGGGUGAUCGGCCACAUUGGGACUGAGACACGGCCCAGACUCCUACGGGAGGCAGCAUG